GGUGCAGGUCGAGCGGACAGAUGGGAGCUUGGUCCCUGAUGUUAGCGGCGGACGGCUGAGUAACACGUGGGUAACCUGCCUGUAAGACUGGGAUAACUCCGGGAAACCGGGGCUAAUACCGGAUGGUUGUUUGAACCGCAUGGUUCAGACAUAAAAGGUGGCUUCGGCUACCACUUACAGAUGGACCCGCGGCGCAUUAGCUAGUUGGUGAGGUAACGGCUCACCAAGGCAACGAUGCGUAGCCGACCUGAGAGGGUGAUCGGCCACACUGGGACUGAGACACGGCCCAGACUACUACGGGAGGCAGCAGUAGGGAAUCUUCCGCAAUGGACGAAAGUCUGACGGAGCAACGCCGCGUGAGUGAUGAAGGUUUUCGGAUCGUAAAGCUCUGUUGUUAGGGAAGAACAAGUGCCGUUCAAAUAGGGCGGCACCUUGACGGUACCUAACCAGAAAGCCACGGCUAACUACGUGCCAGCAGCCGCGGUAAUACGUAGGUGGCAAGCGUUGUCCGGAAUUAUUGGGCGUAAAGGGCUCGCAGGCGGUUUCUUAAGUCUGAUGUGAAAGCCCCCGGCUCAACCGGGGAGGGUCAUUGGAAACUGGGGAACUUGAGUGCAGAAGAGGAGAGUGGAAUUCCACGUGUAGCGGUGAAAUGCGUAGAGAUGUGGAGGAACACCAGUGGCGAAGGCGACUCUCUGGUCUGUAACUGACGCUGAGGAGCGAAAGCGUGGGGAGCGAACAGGAUUAGAUACCCUGGUAGUCCACGCCGUAAACGAUGAGUGCUAAGUGUUAGGGGGUUUCCGCCCCUUAGUGCUGCAGCUAACGCAUUAAGCACUCCGCCUGGGGAGUACGGUCGCAAGACUGAAACUCAAAGGAAUUGACGGGGGCCCGCACAAGCGGUGGAGCAUGUGGUUUAAUUCGAAGCAACGCGAAGAACCUUACCAGGUCUUGACAUCCUCUGACAAUCCUAGAGAUAGGACGUCCCCUUCGGGGGCAGAGUGACAGGUGGUGCAUGGUUGUCGUCAGCUCGUGUCGUGAGAUGUUGGGUUAAGUCCCGCAACGAGCGCAACCCUUGAUCUUAGUUGCCAGCAUUCAGUUGGGCACUCUAAGGUGACUGCCGGUGACAAACCGGAGGAAGGUGGGGAUGACGUCAAAUCAUCAUGCCCCUUAUGACCUGGGCUACACACGUGCUACAAUGGACAGAACAAAGGGCAGCGAAACCGCGAGGUUAAGCCAAUCCCACAAAUCUGUUCUCAGUUCGGAUCGCAGUCUGCAACUCGACUGCGUGAAGCUGGAAUCGCUAGUAAUCGCGGAUCAGCAUGCCGCGGUGAAUACGUUCCCGGGCCUUGUACACACCGCCCGUCACACCACGAGAGUUUGUAACACCCGAAGUCGGUGAGGUAACCUUUUAGGAGCCAGCCGCCGAA
rnacentral:rRNA from 1 species